rnacentral:rRNA from 1 species
GACGAACGCUGGCGGCGUGCUUAACACAUGCAAGUCGAACGGAAAGGCCCUGCUUGCAGGGUGCUCGAGUGGCGAACGGGUGAGUAACACGUGGGUGAUCUGCCCCUUACUUUGGGAUAAGCCUGGGAAACUGGGUCUAAUACUGGAUAGGACCAUGCUGUAGGUGGUGUGGUGGAAAGAGUAGUUUCGGUAAGGGAUGAGCUCGCGGCCGAUCAGCUUGUUGGUGGGGUAAUGGGCUACCAAGGCGUCGACGGGUAGCCGGCCUGAGAGGGUGGACGGCAACAUUGGGACUGAGACACGGCCCAGCCGCCUACGGGAGGCAGCAGUGGGGAAUAUUGCACAAUGGGCGCAAGCCGGAUGCAGCGACGCCGCGUGGGGGAUGACGGUCUUCGGGUUGUAAACUCCUUUCAGCCAUGACGAAGCGCUUGUGGUGACGGUAGUGGUAGAAGAAGCACCGGCUAACUACGUG